AUGUGGAGGACGGUUGGGUGUGUACUGGGAACGAACCUUUGCCCGAACAACAUUUGGCAAUACUUUUCCUGGUGUUAUUGCUUCCUUACCGAUGGGGAGAGAUUCUAUACAUUUGGGCUAGCCGCUCUUUGUUGGGCCAUGUGGAACUGUCGUAACAGAUCUACUUUUGAGUUCAAAAAGAUGAGAUCUCCUUUUGAUGUGAUCUACAUUGCUUGUGGCUUUAUUACUUAUUGGGCAGGUAUGCUGAAGGGAGAAGACCACGAAGCAAUGGAGAGGGGAGCCAAGAUGCUGAGAGGCAAUGCUGGGAACAUGAUGCGCAUUUGCGCGGCCCCGGGGAGGAUCAACUGA
rnacentral:rRNA from 1 species